rnacentral:rRNA from 1 species
AGUGAACGCUGGCGGUAGGCCUAACACAUGCAAGUCGAACGGCAGCACAGGAGAGCUUGCUCUCUGGGUGGCGAGUGGCGGACGGGUGAGGAAUACAUCGGAAUCUACUCUGUCGUGGGGGAUAACGUAGGGAAACUUACGCUAAUACCGCAUACGACCUACGGGUGAAAGCAGGGGACCUUCGGGCCUUGCGCGAUUGAAUGAGCCGAUGUCGGAUUAGCUAGUUGGCGGGGUAAAGGCCCACCAAGGCGACGGUCCGUAGCUGGUCUGAGAGGAUGAUCCGCCACACUGGAACUGAGACCAGGUCCGGACUCCUACGGGAGGCAGCAGUGGGGAAUAUUGGACAAUGGGCGCAAGCCUGAUCCAGCCAUACCGCGUGGGUGAAGAAGGCCUUCGGGUUGUAAAGCCCUUUUGUUGGGAAAGAAAUCCAGCUGGCUAAUACCCGGUUGGGAUGACGGUACCCAAAGAAUAAGCACCGGCUAACAUCGUGCCAGCCGCCGCAGUAA